rnacentral:misc_RNA from 1 species
AGUUUUAGGGGUGCAUGUAGGCAUGAUCCUAGUGAAGCAGUACGUGAUAGCGUGUGAGUGGUAGUUGGUUUGUGUGGUUGGCGGGCUCUCUGCUUGUGCAUUGAACCGUUCACUAGCAAACCUCUUCAUAGUUUGUUCCAAGUGCAUGAUAUGCCUUGGGCGGUGGGUGGUCCCUAUGUUGAAUUCCUAAUGACGGUAUUGAUGUUGUCCUCGGAAAGUGUUAGUUUUGCUUUGCAUCCCCUUAAAAGGAUGCCAAGCAAACACUGUAAUUGGGUUCGUUAUCCCCCCGUCAAGCGGAAACAAGCACGAUGGGAUAGGAUGAUGGUCUCAAGUUGAGCCCUUGGAUGCAGAAUGUUGUGUGGGAGUCGACGUGAAUUCGUCACACGCCCGACCUAGCGUUGUACGCAAACGAUGGAUGACAUUCGAGUGCGACGUGGCCCUUUCUUCAUUGAGAGGGAUCAUGCGUGCCGAUGUCGACCGAGGAGUGUUACCUGGUUGAUCCUG